rnacentral:sRNA from 1 species
GUAAAUGGUUCUUGUCCAAAUCGUGGAGAAUCUCCAGCUAUGAACACGAAAUCAAGGACAUUGGUUUUGAUGAACUAUUUUCUGAGUAAUGCUAAUGCAACUUCGACUUGUGCUCACAAUUCGGCUCCAUUAGUUAACAUGCUGAAAACUUGUCAUGCUGCUGCUGAUAAUCGCUGGCCGAAUUUCAUUGCCAUUGACUUUUAUAUGAGGAGUGACGGAGGAGGAGCCCCUGAAGCU